rnacentral:rRNA from 1 species
CCUACGGGAGGCAGCAGUGGGGAAUAUUGCACAAUGGGGGAAACUCUGAUGCAGCGACGCCGCGUGAGGGAAGAAGUAUUUCGGGAUGUAAAGCUCUAUUAGUAGGGAAGAAAAUGACGGUACCUGAUUAAGAUGCCCCGGCUAACUACGUGCCAGCAGCGGCGGUAAUACGGAGGGGGCAAGCGUUAUCCGGAUUUACUGGGUGUAAAGGGAGCGUAGAGGGCAGCACAAGUCUGGAGUGAAAUGCCGGGGCUUAACCCCGGAACUGCAUUUGAAACUGUGCAGCUAGAGUGCAGUAGAGGUAAGUGGAAUUCCUAGUGUAGCGGUGAAAUGCGUAGAUAUUAGGAAGAACACCAGUGGCGAAGGCGGCUUACUGGACUGUAACUGACGUUGAGGCUCGAAAGCGUGGGGAGCAAACAGGAUUAGAUACCCGUGUAGUC